rnacentral:rRNA from 1 species
UCCUACGGGAGGCAGCAGUGGGGAAUUUUCCGCAAUGGGCGAAAGCCUGACGGAGCAAUACAGCGUGAGGGAAGACUGCCUAUGGGUUGUAAACCUCUUUUUUCAGGGAGGAAUAAAUGACGUGUACCUGAAGAAUAAGCAUCGGCUAACUCCGUGCCAGCAGCCGCGGUAAGACGGAGGAUGCAAGUGUUAUCCGGAAUCACUGGGCGUAAAGCGUCUGUAGGUGGUUUAAUAAGUCAACUGUUAAAUCUUGAGGCUCAACUUCAAAAUCGCAGUCGAAACUAUUAGACUAGAGUAUAGUAGAGGUAAAGGGAAUUUCCAGUGGAGCGGUGAAAUGCGUAGAUAUUGGAAAGAACACCGAUGGCGAAAGCACUUUACUGGGCUAUUACUAACACUCAGAGACGAAAGCUAGGGUAGCAAAUGGGAUUAGAUACCCUAGUAGUCCUAGCCGUAAACUAUGGAUACUAGAUGUUGAACAGAUCGACCUGUGCAGUAUCAAAGCUAACGCGUUAAGUAUCCCGCCUGGGAAGUAUGCUCGCAAGAGUGAAACUCAAAGGAAUUGACGGA